UAUUUUGAAAAAGUUUCUCAUGGGAUGUC
rnacentral:piRNA from 1 species